rnacentral:lncRNA from 10 species
CGCGCCUGCGCAGCCCCUGCCGGGGGCGUCUUCCUCAGUGCCUGAUGGUCUGGACCCCUGGGUCUCUAGUGGACAUGGGAGCUGGCCUUGAAGAAUUCUGAGGCUUAGAGAAUUUGGCGGCUGCCUCAGGGUACGCCUCUGGAGUACCGUGCCUAGGUUACUAAACCCUUGGAUCGCGCUUCCCCAAGGAGCCACAGACUUACUGGCUCUUCCAGAAUUCUGCAUCCUACUUGCACUUAAAGGCCUGAAUUCAGGUUGGAGUGCAAUGGCGUGAUCUCGGCUCAAACAACCUCCGCCUCCCGGGUUCAAGCGAUUCUCCUGCCUCAGCCUCCCGAGUAGCUGGGAUUACAGGCAUGCACCACCACGCCCAGCUAAUUUUGUAUUUUUAGUAGAGACGGGGUUUUAUCAUGUUGGUCAGGCUGGUCUCGAACUCCCGACCUCAGGUGAUCCACCCACCUCAGCCUUCUAAAGCGCUGGGAUUACAAGCAUGAGCCACCGCGCCCAGCCUGGGUCUUUUUUUUUUUUUUUUUUUUUUGAGACGGAGUUUUGCUCUUGUUGCCCAGGCUGGAGUGCAGUGGCGCGAUCUCAGCUCACUGCAACCUCCGCCUCCCGGGUUCAAACGAUUCUCCUGCCUCAGCCUCCUGACUAGCUGGGAUUACAGGCUUGCACCACCACGCCUGGCUAACUUUUGUAUUUUUAGUAGAGACGGGGUUUCACCAUGUUGGCCAGGCUGGUCUCGAACUCCUGACCUCAGAUGAUUCGCCCGCCCCGGCCUCCCAAAGUGCUGGGAUUACAGGCCUGAGUCACCAUGCCUGGUAAAAUUUGGGUCUCUUUCAAGAUGAUCGUGUCUAGAAUGUAUCGGGGGUAAUUAUGUAAAGGCAGCUUUGCCAUCCUAGAAUACGCUACUAGCUAGGAGGUGCAAUGAAGUCCUGGGGACCUUGUCAAGGAGGUGACCUCGCCUAGAAUGCACUGGGGACACC